ACCUGGCCAAUUUGCACUUGUGAUCUUGAAAUAAUUUUUGAAGAAGUUUUUGUCUAAUUGCCUGUUUACCUGGUCCUAGGUCUAUCAAGCCACGCCCCUUGCUGGAGACUCCACUAAGGACCUCCUAAACAGUAAUUUGGAUUCUGGAUCAGUUUCUGGCUGGCAGCUGCCCUUGCGAAUCCACCUGUCUGAUCAAGCGAAACCUGUCCACCCUCCUUCGUGUCCGCCAGGACCAUCUGAAAGCUCCAGCCGAACCAGCACAGCCGCACUGCUCCAGACUCGAACCUCUCUCCCCUGGUGGAUCGAUCCCCACCAGAAUCGUGUUUGCCCUGCGAUGGACAGGCAACCUGUCCAGGAUCUGCCCUGCCUCUCGCCCAAAGACUGCUGGAGAUAGGCACCAGCUCCACCAUGACCCACUAUGGAAUAAGCGGUAUAGAAGAUGAAUGAAUGAAUGUGCUCCAGUCACUUCUACGACCACAGGUGUAUAACAUCCAGCACCAAGACAUGCAAACUGCUUCUGUAAACAUUUGGGAAAGAAUGGGUCACUCUCUGGAGCUCGGUGAAUUCCAUCAGGGGUUCAGUGAUUGGAUGCCUAAAGAAGAGGAGGUGACUUGGAAUGAUAGCAACUCAGUCAUGAAAUGCUAGGCAACAAAAAAUAAAAGAACAGAUUCAGUUGAUUUUGAGGCACUUAGUUUGCAGAGGUCACCAAAUUUCUGCAGAGCCUAUAGCUGCAGACAUCUGAACUUAAUGUGGCCUUCAUAUUAGUUCAAGACCAGUAGGUACAGAGCUUCAUUAAAUAGGUUUUUGUGGCCAUGCAAUGUAAAGCACUUGAAGAUGCAAGUUCUUCACCCAUGCAGUGGUAUAAAGCAAGCCAACUCCAGACACUGGAGUUCUCUGUAGUGACUGGAUCAUGACUCUCUAAGAUGACGUCCAUGCCCAUGGUGUUGGGGGUAGUUUAUUUGAUUUACAGGCAGUUGGUAGCUGGCAGAGUCGUAUCUUCAGCAGUUUUCUCAGCGCAUGGCAGACAUCACGGAUACGUUUACCAUCCCUUAUAUGAGCAUAUGGACUGGAGCUGCAAUCAAACAGAGGGCCAUUUAUUGUAAACAUGCUGAUUCAGCGAGCUGCUUGAUGGAAUCACACCAAUGUCCUGUUACACACAUACAGGUGGAGAACAGCUAGUGAGUCUCAGUGCAUCCGGUAGUUUAAAUCAUGACAAAAGAUUAACAAAAUAAAUAGUGGUUUGAAAACUCUGCACUGUACUUUGUUUAAAAAUAUGUUGAAAAAGUGUUUUGCAGUGUUUUGUUUCUGCCUCAAGCUGUAUUAUCUCCAAUAAGAUGCCCUAAUAAAUUACAGACCAAUACCAAAUCAACUGCCCAUUUCUAGAAUUCCUAAAAAAAAUGGCUUCUAAUAAAUUAUAUGUUUUUAAUAAAUUAAAAUUAUAUGCUUCUAAUAAAUUAUAUAUGUCGUACUGUGUUACUAAUGGUCUUCUUUGACUGUGGUCUCAGCUCUCUUUGGGUCAUUGACUAGGUCCUACUGUGUAGUUCUGGGCUGAUCCCUCACCUUCCUCAUGAUCAUUGAUGCCCCAUGAGGUAAGAUCUUGCUAGCAACCCCAGACUGAGGAAGACUGACCAUCAUCUUGAACUUUUUCUAUUUUCUUAUUAUUGCUCCAACAGUUGUUGCCUUCUCACCAAGUUGCUUGACUAUUUUCCUGUAGCCCAUCCCAGCCUUGUGCAGGUCUACUGUUUUAUCCCUGGUGUCCUUACACAGCUCUCUGAUCUUGGCCAUUGUGCAGAGGCUGGAGUUUGUUUGAGUGUGUGGACAAUUGUCUUUUAUACAGAUAACGAGUUCGAACAGGUGCAGUCAAUACAGGUAAUGAGUGGAGGGCUUCUUGGAGAAGAAGUAACCGGCAUGUGAGAGCCGGAGUUCAGAAUCAGAAUCAGAUUUAUUGCCAAGUAAGUACAUACAAAUGUAGCCCAUGUGGUCUUAAGUUUGUUAAUUUCACCAAAAUUCUGCUUAUGAUCUGUAUUUUUUUUUUAUGUUAUUGUAUUAAUGUUGUUAUUGAAUGAAAAUUUAUUUUGGUGGGUCACGCACUCUCACUUCCUGUUUGUGCCGUUUCUCCUCGGUUGCUUAGAGGAAUAUGGAGGAGAGGUAGGCAGAAAACGUUGCUCCUGACGGAUAAAGUUAUUAUUACAUAUUUUUUUUGCAUAGAUGGGUUAUGAUAAUGAAUCUAGGGUGGUAUUGGAGUAAAGGCUCUUUAUAAAUUACUUUUGGUUUGGUUACCUGUGUGAAAUAUGAUUUUAAAUGUGUAUGUGUGAGACAAAGAGACUGGUGGCUGUAUUCAAAUCUGUGUUUUUACACAGGUCCAAUAAACUUCCUCGGACAGCA